GAUGAACGCUGGCGGCGUGCCUAAUACAUGCAAGUCGAGCGAACAGACGAGGAGCUUGCUCCUCUGACGUUAGCGGCGGACGGGUGAGUAACACGUGGAUAACCUACCUAUAAGACUGGGAUAACUUCGGGAAACCGGAGCUAAUACCGGAUAAUAUAUUGAACCGCAUGGUUCAAUAGUGAAAGACGGUUUUGCUGUCACUUAUAGAUGGAUCCGCGCCGCAUUAGCUAGUUGGUAAGGUACCGGCUUACCAAGGCAACGAUGCGUAGCCGACCUGAGAGGGUGAUCGGCCACACUGGAACUGAGACACGGUCCAGACUCCUACGGGAGGCAGCAGUAGGGAAUCUUCCGCAAUGGGCGAAAGCCUGACGGAGCAAUGCCGCGUGAGUGAUGAAGGUCUUCGGAUCGUAAAACUCUGUUAUUAGGGAAGAACAAAUGUGUAAGUAACUAUGCACGUCUUGACGGUACCUAAUCAGAAAGCCACGGCUAACUACGUG
rnacentral:rRNA from 1 species